rnacentral:rRNA from 1 species
UACGGGGGGAGCAAGCGUUGUUCGGAUUUACUGGGCGUAAAGGGCGCGUAGGCGGCCUCCGCAAGUCAGUUGUGAAAUCUCCGAGCUUAACUCGGAAAGGUCAACUGAUACUGCGGGGCUAGAGUGCGGAAGGGGCAACUGGAAUUCUUGGUGUAGCGGUGAAAUGCGUAGAUAUCUGGAGGAACACCGGUGGCGAAGGCGGCAUCCUGGACCGGCAUUGACGCUGAGGCGCGAAAGCCAGGGGAGCAAAGCGGGG